AUGUCAGAAGCUUCAGGAUCACAGGGGAAGCGGGAGAAGGAAUCAGCGGAGGAACUGCUGGCGAGGCUCACGCUGCAGGAAGAGGAGGAAGACGACUUCAUCUGGGAGGAGGAGUUGCCGGAUAUGCUUGAGCCGGCAAAGUGGCUUGCGAUCGUUCGGGUUCAUACACUAAAAUCCUUUAGCCCUAAUGCUUUGUAUAAUGACAUGAGGGCGGCAUGGAAUCCAGCUAAGUCAGUGACAUGGAGGAAAAUCAAGGCAAAUCUGUUCACGGCACAGUUUGGAUGUCUUGGUGAUUGG
rnacentral:rRNA from 1 species